UUCCGGUUCCUCCCUACCACUCUGACCCCAGAGUGCUCACAUGUUUGAUGUUCUACGUACGCCAAGGGGUCCCCCACCCUGGGGGUUGGAAAGUCAGUUCUCUCUUACCCGUAACCCUGGAAGAGAAGCAAAGCCACCUGCUGGCCUCCAGGGUGCUGGUGUUGAGUGUGUGUGGUCGUGGUCUGGAGGGCCGACUGUGUCCUCCGGCCGUGGACUCAGAGUCACCCGGCUCCAGACGGACGCACAUCUGGGCCUCCACGGGACGUCCACCAGAGGCACAUCGAGCGGCAGGGAGGGCGUUCGCUUUGAGCACGCAGCUCCGCUCCCCUGCGGCCGAGGCACCCGACUCCUCCCGCUCCGUCUCCAGACCAGGACGCUCCAUGCAGGGCCGAGAACCCGCAUUUAGCUGCCUUCUCUUCGACGUGACGCAUCUGAACAUUACAACACCAAGAGGGAUGCAGCUGUCGGUACCUCUCCACGCAAACAUCGGACUUCUGCACCAGGAGGCAGCGUGACGGAAGCUCCUCAAGCCAGGAAUCUCAUUCCCGUCGUGCUGGGGAAAGAUGACGAUGAUGCUCGAACAUGACGUAUGCAUAAAUGGUAGAUCUUGUUUAAAAAAAAAAAACCGUCUGCAGAGCAAGGCGCUACAGUGAUCACUCAGCGACUGCAUCACCGGCACCCUGGGGACCCAUGAGAACGGAGGCGCCUUGCCCGGCGGAGAAGCCUGCUCGUCUCUGCAUCCCGUGUUUUACAUAAUUAGAUGGAGAAUAUCGUCCUAAGCAAAGACGUGGAAGCCAUGAGGGGAAAGGCUGACGCACAGAUCACCAGGGGCAGGGGCCGGCGGGUACGGGGACAGAAGCCCAAAGCAAAGCUGUCGACCUGGAGAAGAUCAUUGCAAGG